CAGCAGCCACGGUAAUACGUAGGGUGCAAGCGUUAAUCGGAAUUACUGGGCGUAAAGCGUGCGCAGGCGGUUAUAAAAGACAGAUGUGAAAUCCCCGGGCUCAACCUGGGAACUGCAUUUGUGACUGUAUAGCUAGAGUACGGCAGAGGGGGAUGGAAUUCCGCGUGUAGCAGUGAAAUGCGUAGAUAUGCGGAGGAACACCGAUGGCGAAGGCAAUCCCCUGGGCCUGUACUGACGCUCAUGCACGAAAGCGUGGGGAGCAAACAGGAUUAGAUACCCCAGUAGUCCCUGUCUCUUAUAC
rnacentral:rRNA from 1 species